ACGGGGUGCAGCAGGCGCGAAAACUUCACACUGUGCGAAAGCGCGAUGAGGGAAUCCCAAGUGUUUGCUCGUAAGAGUAAACUGUUUCUUUGUUUAAAACGCAGAGAGAGUAAGGGCUGGGUAAGACGGGUGCCAGCCGCCGCGGUAAUACCUGCAGCUCAAGUGGUGAUCAUUAUUAUUGGGCCUAAAACGUCCGUAGCCGGUUUAGUAAAUGCCUGGGUAAAUCGUGUAGCUUAACUAUACGACUUCCGGGUAGACUGCUAAACUUGAGACCGGGAGAGGCUAGAGGUACUCCUGGGGUAGAGGUGAAAUUCUGUAAUCCUAGGGGGACCACCAGUGGCGAAGGCGUCUAGCUAGAACGGGUCUGACGGUGAGGGACGAAGCCCUGGGGCGCAAACCGGAUUAGAUACCCGGGUAGUCCAGGGUGUAAACGCUGCUUGCUUGAUGUUAGUUGGGCUCCGAGCCCAACUAGUGUCGGAGAGAAGUUGUUAAGCAAGCUGCCUGGGAAGUACGGUCGCAAGGCUGAAACUUAAAGGAAUUGGCGGGGGAGCACAGCAACGGGUGGAGCGUGCGGUUUAAUUGGAUUCAACGCCGGAAAACUCACCGGAGGCGACGGUUACAUGAAGGCCAGGCUGAUGACCUUGCCUGAUUUUCCGAGAGGUGGUGCAUG
rnacentral:rRNA from 1 species